rnacentral:sRNA from 1 species
CUCUCGGGGUUACAGCCUUGCUGAAUUAUUCACCCUUGUCUUUUGCGUACUUCUUGUUUCCUUGGUGGGUUCGCCCACCACUAGGACAAACAUAAACCUUUUGUAAUUGCAAUCAGCGUCAGUAACAAAUUAAUAAUUACAACUUUCAACAACGGAUCUCUUGGUUCUGGCAUCGAUGAAGAACGCAGCGAAAUGCGAUAAGUAGUGUGAAUUGCAGAAUUCAGUGAAUCAUCGAAUCUUUGAACGCACAUUGCGCCCUUUGGUAUUCCAAAGGGCAUGCCUGUUCGAGCGUCAUUUGUACCCUCAAGCUUUGCUUGGUGUUGGGCGUCUUGUCUCUAGCUUUGCUGGAGACUCGCCUUAAAGUAAUUGGCAGCCGGCCUACUGGUUUCGGAGCGCAGCACAAGUCGCACUCUCUAUCAGCAAAGGUCUAGCAUCCAUUAAGCCUUUUUUUCAACUUUUGACCUCGGAUCAGGUAGGGAUACCCGCUGAACUUAAGC